rnacentral:rRNA from 1 species
UACGUAGGGUGCAAGCGUUAAUCGGAAUUACUGGGCGUAAAGCGUGCGCAGGCGGCUUUGCAAGACAGAUGUGAAAUCCCCGGGCUUAACCUGGGAACUGCAUUUGUGACUGCAUGGCUGGAGUGCGGCAGAGGGGGAUGGAAUUCCAGGUGUAGCGGUGAAAUGCGUAGAUAUCUGGAGGAACACCGGUGGCGAAGGCGACAUCCUGGACCAACACUGACGCUGAGUGAGCGAAAGCCAGGGGAGCAAACGGG